UAUGAUUGAGCUGCGUGCUACAGCGAGGCUAAGCGAGUGGGGGCAAAGUUUCAGUGCAUUCCGUUGAUGUAGACGGCGUGAAAACGGAAACAAGUAUGCCGGCUCACUGUGCUGCAUACAGUUACACACUGCGUCGUACGAUUGAGACAAGGAAACUUGGAAUGACUUUUCAUAGGUUUCCCAAAGACUAUGGGCUGAGGAGGAAAUGGAAGCAGCUCUGAAGAGAGAGGGGUUUGCUGCAAAUGAUGAGUGGCUGCUCUGCAGUGAUCAUUUUAAACCUGUGAGUUUGACAGGGCUGGGCAGAUUUGUCGGCUUAGACCUGGUGUCAUUCCAUCAGUGUUAAACUUCCCGGCUCAUCUUGGAAGAGUACGUGCCAGAAAGACCACGACCAAGCAGCCUUGAGAUCUUAGACAGCGUCUCCCUCAGGUCCCUCUCUAUCUCCACACAUCCACCAACCACUGGAACACAUCUCCAAAGUUCUGCUGGACCAGCUCAGCUUCCCCUCAGAAGAAGUGCUGCCACCUGCCAGAUGAAGGAGCCUUUUGAGAGGCAGCUGGCAUCGUGAUUGGACUGUACUUUGGUCUGUUCCAAUCCAGCUUCAGCUCCAGAGACGGCAGGCGGGACGAGUCAACGGAGGCCUGGUGGACGAAGGCAUGAAGCUGAGUACAAUCCAGAAAACAACAGAGGAGGAGUGCAGUGACUCAGAGCCAGAAUAUACAGAGUAGCAUCGUAUGUCUCUUAGAAAACAUCAUAGUAUAGCCUUUGGGAUGAAAAAACACCAUCAUAUACAUCGUAUAUUGUACAAAUAACAAAGGAAAGAGAUAUACGUUGUAGAAUUGUAGUAAUUGUGGGCUGACUGAUUUACUGAUUAUCAGUAUUUAAUUUUUUACUGAUUUGCGGUAAUAAAUACAUUUAAAAAUGGC